rnacentral:lncRNA from 10 species
UGAUGUAUGAAUUAAAUGAAAACCAUACUUUGAGCUAAGCAGAUGGUUUCUUCAGUAUCAUAGGCACCUGAGUGUUAUCUCCGGAGUAGGUACCUCCUAAUGGAUGUACAUGUCAGUUGGUACAGGUUGACAUUUCAGGUAUGUUUUCACGUGCCUCUGGUUUGGGUCAUCACACUGACAUCUUGUUCUGGUUAUGGCAGUAGACAGGAGUUUAUUUCUAUUACAUGGUUAAUCGAACUUGUAGGCUGCUUUUACUCUUAGGAGGAUCAGAGUAUCUUACAGAAGACAUAGGAGUUGAAGCUAGCACUUCUGAAAAGGUCUGGGCUUUCUCUUAGCUUUUCCAGAGAGCAUGGGGAAUUUCCUAGUUCAGUGUGCCAGGGGUGGUUGUGCUAUAUUGGGGGAAAGUCUGCAUUUUAUUAUAGUAGGUAGCCUUCCGAUUUCAUCUUGAAUAUCAAAUACUCUUCACUGUACCUCAAUAACUUUCUCCACCACGACUGGGAGCUUUAUGUUUCUACUCUGCAUUCUUCACUAAGGUAUUUUGGACCACAAAACAUACUCCUCUCUGAUUCCCUAUUCACGAAUCACAGUCUGGAUUUUUGAAGACCAGGCAUUCCUUUUCAUGAAACUCUGCUUUUUGCUGAUGAUCUGGAGGCAAAUGUGUAUGCAAAAUCGCCCCAAUCAGCCUGGCAUUUUGUGGCUAGGACAGGGCCCCUGGGCAUUAUGCACCUGCUGUCAGGCAUAGGCGCACCACCUUUAGAGGGGGAAGCGGUCCACCUGGAAGGGGAUGGUGGUCAAGGGCAGGUGGGAAAUACUUCUUUCUGAAGGCAUGGGCCAGAUUUCUCUUUCUGCCCAGCAGUUAGAGGUCUACUGAAUAAGAGAUGGUCCCCCGUCCCAUCCCUCCCAGUUGCUUUUGAACUCCUGAAGCAUAGCUGAAACAGCCAAAGUCACUUUAACUUGUUCCCUGACUGUCCAUUCACCCUUUCUAGUGGUAGAUUAGCAACUUCUAUUGGCUGGUUGUCAAAACAGUUUGUGUCCCGAUGUUUGAAAACGGCUCUUGUCUAGAAGAGAAUUAACAGGGAGAUCAAUAACGACAGGUGACUUUUUUUUCCAUUUGCCAGAACGAUGCCAUUUGAGAAACCAGAGGGUUAAGUGGUGUUUUUAAGUUAGUGAACAUAUCCAGAGGUAGAAACGAGGCCAGCCUGUUGUCCAGUCUACCUCCCACCUUUAAACAGGUUUUCAGACACCCGCAGAGCAGAGCCAGGGAAAAAUCCCCUGCCGGCUUUGCUCUCUGAAUCACAUGAGACUGGUGGGAAGUGGGGUGGGUGUGUGUGUGUGUGUGUAGGGGGGUAAGGGUGGGUAACCAACUGGAAAUUAUGGGAUCCUAGGGACUUUUGAGCUUUGGUUGAGUGCUUGCACGAUAAGCAAAGUUUUCUUCUUGUACAGAUUGUUACGCUGGAGCCUUAUCUGUGACACCCAAACAUCAGCUCAUUGGGUCAAAAAUCACUUGAUUACCUGCAAUAGAUAUUUUGUCUACAGAAGGCCAGACAUCUUGAUGGAGUGAGUCUUUUGGCUGGGCCUUUCUGUGUUUGAUAGAUAAAAGCCCCACCAGCUCUGUCUGAGGUUCUACCAAACUGAUGUAGCAUUCUCUUUUCUGGACUUUGCUGUGUCUGUCCAGCUACUGCACAACGCUAUAGCUGCACACUCUCAUGCUUGCUCACACUUGCUUACACUUGCCCUCACACAUGCCCUCACACAUGCUCACACUUACCCUCCUAUGCUCACACAGGUUCCCCCUUGCUCACCCCACUCACACAGGUCUGAAAUGGCAUGUUCAGCGUUCCAGUCACAUAACCAACCCCUGGCCCUCAGACCCACACUAGACACUGAGAUUGUUUCUGUGCUGCCCUACCUUCCCACAGAGUUAAGCCUUUCGGGCCUCCUGUGGCGCUUUCUUCAUCCUUGCUGAGGAAUGAGUGUGUAUGACUUGGUGUGCAGGCAGGGGGUGACAGUAUAUCUGCUUAGUAGGGAUCAGACACUUGAAAUUUGCUCAGAAAUAGUUGCAUUACACGCCCAGUGUGCAAUGGCUGAAAUUCAGGCACAUUCAUGCUUACUGUUCUCUGAGAUCUGAACAAAAUCAAAUUGCACUGAGCAAGGAUAGUGCUCAAUCUUUUGUUCUUUCUGACAACUAAAAAUUAACCAGCGGUUGUUUACUUCCCUAUAUAAUUCUGUUUAAGAGAAUCUGGACCAUUGAGACACCAGGCUUAAAAUGUUGUAUUAAGAUAUAAAAGUACCUUACUUU